UAACAAGGAUUCCCCUAGUAACUGCGAGUGAAGCGGGAAAAGCUCAAAUUUAAAAUCUAACAGUUUCACUGUUCGAGUUGUAAUCUGGAGAAGCAUUUUCCGUGUUGGACCGUGUACAAGUCUCUUGGAAUAGAGCGUCAUAGAGGGUGAAAAUCCCGUCCAUGACACGGACUACCGAUACUUUGUGAUAUGCUCUCGAAGAGUCGAGUUGUUUGGGAAUGCAGCUCAAAAUGGGUGGUAAAUUCCAUCUAAAGCUAAAUAUUGGCGAGAGACCGAUAGCGAACAAGUACCGUGAGGGAAAGAUGAAAAGUACUUUGGAAAGAGAGUUAAACAGUAUGUGAAAUUGUUGAAAGGGAAACGCUUGAAGUCAGUCGCGUUGUCUGAGACUCAGCCUUGCUCUUUUGCCUGGUGUAUUUCUUAGUUAACGGGUCAACAUCAAUUUUGGUUGGUGGAUAAAGGUAGAGGGAAUGUGGCAUUCUUCGGGAUGUGUUAUAGCCCUUUAUUGCAUACACUGACUGGGAUUGAGGAACGCAGCACGCCUUUUUGGCCGGGGGGUUCCCCUCACUUAACGUGUUUAGAAUGUUAACUUAAGGGUUUUAACCAAC
rnacentral:rRNA from 1 species